rfam:Tupaia chinensis contig25320, whole genome shotgun sequence.
GUGCUCGCUUCAGCAGUACAUAUACUAAAAUUGACAUGAUAUGGAGAAGAUUAGCAUGUCAUCUGCACAAGGAUGACAUGUAAAUUCAAGAAAUGCUCCAUAUUUUU